UACGAAGGGUGCAAGCGUUACUCGGAAUUACUGGGCGUAAAGCGUGCGUAGGUGGUUCGUUAAGUCUGAUGUGAAAGCCCUGGGCUCAACCUGGGAAUGGCAUUGGAUACUGGCGACCUAGAGUGCGGUAGAGGGGUGUGGAAUUCCCGGUGUAGCAGUGAAAUGCGUAGAUAUCUGGAGGAACACCGGUGGCGAAGGCGGGUCUCUGGGCAUCUCCUGACGCUGAGGCGCGAAAGCGUGGGGAGCAAACGGG
rnacentral:rRNA from 1 species